UACAGGGGGGGCAAGCGUUGUUCGGAUUCACUGGGCGUAAAGGGUGCGCAGGUGGGUUUGCAAGUUCGAUGUGAAAGCCCCGGGCUUAACCCGGGAAUGGCAUUGGAUACUGCAGAUCUGGAGGAUCGGAGGGGGGACUGGAAUUCUUGGUGUAGCAGUGAAAUGCGUAGAUAUCAAGAGGAACACCAGUGGCGAAGGCGAGUCCCUGGACGAUACCUGACACUGAGGCACGAAAGCUAGGGGAGCAAACGGG
rnacentral:rRNA from 1 species